AUAAGUUCAAGUUAGAAUCAUUUGUGAAAUACCUUUUUACCCUUUUUACCGUCAUAUUGAUGGAACCUAAAUGCUAUAUAGAAAUGCAUUUUUAACUUUUAGUUCAAAAAUAAAAACCGAUUAUAACAACUGAAGAUUUGGUUUUGAAUUUUAAGCCCACUGUCUCUCUUCCUCCUCUCCAUUGCAUAGAUUUUUCUCAAAAAAAUGCCUAUGUUCUCUCUCUCUCUUCUAUUUAUUAGUUUCUAACUUCUUGUCAUCUCCUAUUCUACUGCAGGUCGAGUCCAAAUUCAUAUAUUGCUUCAGCCACUCCAUAUCUAGCUUAUGCUACAUCUUCAGGUUUGAUACUCUCCCCAUCUCUCUAAUUGUCAAUUUCAUUUUUACCAUUGUUCUAAGCUUCAUUUCUUUCAGAUAUUGCAAUUUUAUUUUAGUUUCCAUAUCCUUUCACAUCUCUCUUUGCCUUCAAAAUUGGUUUUGUGCAGUUUGGAGGUCUUCAAUGUCAGUCAUUUUGAUGACUGGGUGAAUUUGUUCGAGGCUCGUGCAAUACCUCCAUUUCUCUCUUUCUCCUCUCCAUAACACGGCUUUUUUCCAAAAAAUUGCCUCUCUUCUCUCUCUUUUUGUUGUCCACUAUCUCUCUCUUUCUCUUCCAUCUACGGGGUUCUAACUUCUUGUCAUCUCCCACUUCAUUGCAGCUCGAGGGGAAGUCUAUAUCCGGCUUCUGCAACUCUGUAUCCAGCUUCGGUUAGAUCUUCAAGUUUGAUACUCUCCCCGUCUCUCUCAUUGCGCAUUUCAUUUUCACCAUUGUUCUGAGCUGUAUUUCUUUCAGAUCUUACAAUUGUCUUUUAGUUUCCAUAUCCUUUCAAAUCUCUCUUUGCCUUGAAAAACAUGGUGAGAAAACAAUACAUUUGCAAAGUGUUCAAUAAAAUUCCUAAUAGAGGCACUAAUGGAGAAGUCACCCUUUUUUUCUUUUUCUUUUUUUUUUUUAAAAAAGAGGUUUUAUGUUGAUUAAUGGUGAAAACAUCCUAGAUUAUUUAAAAAAAAAAGUUUGCAAAAACUUCAUUGUUGGGGUUUUAUAUAUUGCAUCACUAUUAUCAAAGACUUUUAUGCAUUUCACUUUUAUGAUGAAAAUAUCCUUGUAGCUGUACACAUUAGUUUUCUCGACAUUGUUAUGUUCAUUUGCUUUAAGAGUGCCUAUUUGCUUUAUUAAAAUUGUGAGGAAUUCUAUUUCCAUAUCUCAUAAAGUCCAUGGGGCUGCAAAAUAAAUUUUAAAAAGAUUGAAGUCCAUACAUAGGCUAUAAUAUAAGGGCUGUAUGUCUUUGAAAUAAUGGGAGAAUACACGAUGAAACAACUGGAUGUAAUUUCCUUUAGAACAUAUGCAGUAGAUAGAGCAAAGGAUUUAUUCCCAUUUAAUGCAUGUAAACUGAACAUUACUUCUUGUAGCUUGAUAUUCAGUUUUGCCCCUGAUCUUGAAUUUGAUUCAAGAUUUUCGCUUAGCUUCAUGGCUAAACCAUUACGGAUGAUGAAACAACCAUCAAUCAAAUGACAAAGCAUUGGCAUCUAAAAAAAUUGCCCUUUAAGAACCACCUUAUGCUCAAAUCUUGCCACUUUUAGAACUGGGCUAGAAGAUUUCCUCACGUUAUAUUUUUUAUAUACCUUAGAAUUGAAAGAUGGACUAUGUGAUAAAGCACGGAGUAUAUAAUUUUUUUUUUUUUUUGUCACAGGCUAAAUCACUUAUAAUGUGGAAUUACAAAUAAAAGUAAACCUAUAGAGGUGAGAGAGAAAGAGAAAAAGAGAGAUCUCUUAGGUGGGGUCUGCCCCUUCUAUCUUCUUUGAGAGAGAAUGUUAGGUAGAGAGAGAACCUUCAUUGGUUGGAGCGUGCCCCUUUUAGAGAGAAAUCUUUAGUGGGGCACAGCCCCUUAGAGAGAAUAGAGAUGGUAGAGAGAUUUUAUAGAGAGACAGAGAAGAGAGAAGAGUGAUGUAGAUAUUUAGAGGAGAGGGGACCCCUAUUUAUAGAUUUUCUAAAAACUAGUAUUAGUCAAUUUUAAUGAGAUCAAAUCUAGACUAUUGAUCUAAGAAGAUUUAUGGGAUGAGUGAUGUGAGUCAUCAAUUCCUUAAAUCCACCGUCUCGAUUUAAAGGAAUGUGCUAGAACCUUAUCAUCUAUUUCCUAAACCUAUUCCCAUCAAAUAUUCAAAUAAAAAAAUAUAAUCAUACUUUAUCUUUUUAUAGAUAUUUAUUCCUUAUUCAUAUAAUAUUUGAAUAGUCAAAUAUCUUGAUUCACAAGUCGUACUAAAAUUCCUUAUAUUGAUUCCUAAGCUAAGGAGACUUUGCAUGAAAAAAAUAGAAAGCCAACAAGCCUAGGUGGCUUGAACCAAAAUUGGUAACCCAAGCUCUCCAUGAGUGGGGCGUGCCAUCCUAGGUAACCCCUCAUAGGCCCCACCCAAUUUACAUUAUGUAUUUUUAUUUAAGGUGGGCCCAUGGCUCACAAUAAGCCCCAAAUAUUUUUAGUGAGUAAAAUAUUUAAAUUAUUUUAGAAAUAAGUUUUUAUUUCUCUUUGAUUAUUUAAAAUAUUGAUAAUUGAUUUCUUUAUAUAUUAUAAAUCCAAAUGACAAAAAUAAAAAUCAAGAGAAACACAAAAAUUUACAUGAUCAUUCUAAAAUCAUAUAGCAUAAAAUUAAUUAAAACUAAUUAUUUUGAUAGAAAAUAGAUCUGUAUAGGUCUAGGAAUUAUGAAUAUACUGGAGCACUCCACCUGCAAUUGUGGAUUAUAAUCCACUAGCUUUCUCAAACUGACCCAACGGUUCUCAUGACGUACAAUUUACUACAGGGGUUCAUGAUUGAGCAACCAAAAGCAGCCAAUAGGCUAGAGACGUAAUCCCAGUCUAUGGGUUACAUGUUCUCUCCUAGAGAUGCAUCUAUGGUCUCCCACACCAUGAUAUAACCACGGCUUCAUGGUGCAUAGGGGCCAAUUUCUAGCAUAUAUACACGCUUCACCCUCAAAGAUGGAUUGCUUUCUCGAUAUGGCUAUCUAUGUACAUCAUGUAUGAUGGUUCAGGGAUGAGGCUUUGAUCAAGUCUCUAAAGGCUAACCAUCACAUAUAAAGGUCACACAGUCCCUUGGCUCACUUAUCUGGGCAACUCCGACUUUAUCAAGGGAUGAUCCACUGAACCCUCAAUGGUUUAACUCUAUACCCAGGUACCUUGUGAUUUCCAACUUGAUUGGUGUAGCACGUCGAGCUAAGUCCGAGUAUCGGUAAAUAGCGUUUUCCUAAUAUGGUCCACAAGAGUACCACACUCCCACUAAAUUUAUGUUUCACUAUAUAAAAAUGUUUAUACAAGCUUUCAUAAGGCCUUUAAUGGCCACAUGAACAUUCUUGAAGCACAAAAUCAAUGUAAAAAAGGUUUCAUAAAAAUUGCCAAUGUUAGACUUUUUAUUACUUGGGUUUUAUAACUACACAAGCAUUUGGUGCUUGCUCUCCCUCUAAUAUUUGCUAAUGAUAGUUUUGUAUUUUCUUUUCUUUGAUAGCAUUGGACAUUGUUAAGGGGUAGCGUCUAAGAAUAGAAUUGGGUAGCAGCAAGUAGUUCACAGACACUAGUUGAAACGAGG
rnacentral:lncRNA from 1 species